CAUUUAGAGGAAGUAAAAGUCGUAACAAGGUUUCCGUAGGUGAACCUGCGGAAGGAUCAUUACUGAAUUGUCAACACGAGUUGUUGCUGGUCCCCAAAUGGGGGCAUGUGCACACUCUGUUCACACAUCCAUUCACACCUGUGCACCCCAUGUAGUUCUAUGGUUUGGGGGUCUCUGCCCUCUGCUGUGGUUCUAUAUCUUUACACACGCUCUGUAAUAAAGUCUUAUGGAAUGUAUGCAGCGUUUAACGCAAUACAAUACAACUUUCAGCAACGGAUCUCUUGGCUCUCGCAUCGAUGAAGAACGCAGCGAAAUGCGAGUGGCAUCACAGGUGUGAUAAAUAUCUACACUUGCGGUUUCCUGCCAAGUAACCUUUCAGCAAUGGAGGUUCGCUGGGGCUCAUAAACGUCUCUCCUCAGUGGGGACAGCUUUGUGAAUGUUUGAUCUCAAAUCA
rnacentral:misc_RNA from 1 species